CGCAAGUCCCCUGGCAACCCCGGAAGUGGGUCAGGGGCCCUGGCCUCUGCCCGGCCGCGGAGCCGGAGCAGGCGGUGGUGGCCGCUGGGGUCCCGCCAGGCGAGCCUGUCCGGUGGCUGAGCCCGGACACGGCCCGAGCCGGGGGCCCAGGAUGCUGAACGUCCCUUCCCAGGCUUUCCCGGCCCCCGGCUCCCAGCAGCGCGUCGCCUCCCAGGGGCGCAGCAAGGUACCUUUAAAACCAGGCAGAAGUCUUAUGGAUUGGAUCCGACUGACUAAAAGUGGAAAGGACUUAACAGGAUUGAAAGGCGGGAUAAUUGACGUAACUGAAGAAGAGCUUAAGAAGCACAACAAGAAAGAUGACUGUUGGAUAUGCAUAAGAGGGCUUGUUUACAAUGUCAGCCCAUAUAUGGAAUAUCAUCCCGGUGGGGAGGAUGAACUUAUGAGAGCAGCAGGAACGGAUGGGACGGAUCUUUUUAAUGAGGUUCAUCGCUGGGUCAAUUAUGAAUCCAUGCUGAAAGAAUGCCUGGUUGGCAGGAUGGCUAUGAAGCCUACUGUUUUGAAAGACUAUCAUGAAGAGAAGAGAGUCUUAAACGGCAUGCUUCCCAAGAACCAAGUUCCCAAGAACCAAGACGUUGUGGAUACACUUCCCAGGGAAGGACCUAGUACUCCAAGCUAUGACUGGUUCCAAACAGAGUCUUCAGUCACUAUUGUUAUAUACACCAAACAAAAGAAUAUCAGUUUAGACUCUGUAAUCGUUGACCUCCAGGAUGAGUCCUUGAGAGCAGAAGCAGUUAUCAAGGAUCAUUCUUAUCUUAUACAUAUUGGGCUAAGCCAUGAAGUUCAAGAACAAUUUUCUGUACGGGUCAUUGAGAAUGUUGGAAAAAUAGAGAUUGUCCUACAAAAGAGAGAAAAUGUUUCUUGGAAAUGUCUUGGUCAUCCCCUGGAGAAACACAAUUCCUUAAUCCCAAAGAAAGAAACAGGCUUGUACUACAGAAAGUGCCAGUUAACUUCCAAGGAGGAUGUUACUCACGAUACGAGGCUCUUCUGUCUGAUGCUGCCUCCAAGUACUCACCUUCAGGUGCCAGUUGGGCAACAUGUUUACCUCAAGCUCAGUGUCACAGGUGCAGAAAUAGUAAAGCCAUAUACACCCGUGUCUGAUUCCUUACACUCAGAUUAUAAAGAAACAGCUCUUCCCCCAAAUAAAUACAUCUACUUUCUGAUCAAAAUCUAUCCUGAUGGACUCUUCACACCAGAGCUUGAUCGUCUUCAGAUUGGAGAUUUUGUUUCUUUAAGCAAUCCUGAAGGCAAUUUUAAAGUAUCCAAACUGGAGAAAGUAGAAGAUCUCUUUUUAUUGGCAGCUGGAACAGGCUUCACACCAAUGGUUAAUGUACUGAACUAUGCGUUGACUUACAUGUCCAGUCUCAGGCAAGUGAAGUUGAUGUUCUUCAAUAAAACAGAGGACGAUAUAAUUUGGAGAAGGCAACUAGAGAAAUUGGCAUUUAAAGAUGAAAGAUUUGAUGUUGAAUUUGUUCUCUCGGCACCUUCUUCAGAAUGGAAUGGCAAACAGGGAUAUGUGUCACUAGCUCUUCUCUCUGAAUUUUUGCAAAGAAGUUUAGAAGACUCUAGUGUCUUCCUUUGCAUCUGUGGACCAACACCAUUUACAGAAGAGGGGAUACGGUGUACAUGCAAAAUAUACAUUGUAUGCAGAAUAAAUAAAUAAAUCUUAAAAAGAGAGAGAAAGAUACCAUCAGAACCAUGUGGUCAAUAAAGGACCUUUGUUGUGAAUGUAGAUGGUUACAGGUCAUGAUGUGCUCACCUGUAACCCCAGCAUUCUGGGGGCAGAGGCAGAAAGAUGGGGAGUUCCAGGACAAUCUGUGCUAUGUUGCUGCAUGAUCUUAACUUUUCUGAUGAUGAGAUCCACAGUUUUACUGCAUAAUGAAAAGCUGCCAUUGUCUUUUAUUCAACUAGUUUGUAUUUGUGAUUGCCUAGGAUUUUUAAAAAAAAUUUUUUUGUAUGUACAAAAGGUUAACCAGAAUACAGGCUUACAUUUCUGGAAUGAAGUUAUGUGUCUUUGGUAUAGGUAACUUCUUGGUUUAAUUUUUACCGUGACUUGUUUUACUACUGAUGCCUGACCUGGAACGUCAAUCAUGGCAGAAGAUGCAUACAAGAGCCUUUGUUAUGAACUGCAAGUUUCUUUACCACUGAAACUGUAUCACUGUUCUGCAAUAAAUACUUGUAUUUUAUGACAUUAUAAAGUAAGCAAUCAUUUUGAUCACUUUCUAUGCUGCAAGAUGUCUUCUGAGCAAUACAGAUUAAAUUUUACACUGCACUGUUUACUCAGGUA